GUUGAAGUAACCGCUGCUAAUAAUCCGAAUUGUUUUUAGUGAGUUAAGUAUUGUUAUGCCCUUAUAUGCGAUCAAGGAUAACAGGCGCUUUAUGACCUCUGGUGGUAACAAUGCACAUUCUCUUGAGUGUGGCACAUCAAGGGCGGGCCUUUUAUUACAGCUCGUGUCGUCAUCAAAGAUGAAACAGGAAAAAAACAACAACGGAGGAACAUUCUAAAUGACAAUAUUUUAAGAUUCAAAGUUGGCUCAAGUCAUGGGGCGUGCGUUGUAGCCGAUGGCAGCGUACUCGGUGUGAAAAGCAGAGAACAAUGGUGGUGAUUAUUUUCACCGAAUUUGAAGAGAAUGAAACCAGUCGACCGUCGUUUGUCAUUGUAUCUGGUCUUUUGUAAUCGGGGGUAUUUAAACACGCCCGUUCAAAAUGAUCUUAAUCUAAAUUUGUGCGCUCGGACUCGACUUCCGCUGAACCCAAAAACUGGGAUCAUUCAAGGUGCAGAACAGUUGAUUUGAAUUAUUUAAAGUCUUAAGAACGCUCACCUUUGACCUAAGCUCUUUCACCAAAAGACAUCAUCAGUGGAGCCCCGAUUUGUCGAUUCACUGGAAACCGAUAGAAACGUCAGAUUACUGAUACUUUCCCCCUUGGUAUUUGAGGUGCUAAUGAAGGCGUUUAGUCAUAUGAAAAUAUAGCAGAAGUGAAGGAAAGAGAAGCAAUUGAUGCACGAGUGAGAGCGGAGUUUCAAAUGAGGGAAGACGAGGGCAGUUGGUGUUCAGAGAGGACGACGCAGGAUAGGCUUACAUGAUAGACGACGACACGCUGUGCCCACCCCUAACGGGACAUCCCGAAAGCACCUUCCUCAAGCCGAGCACCUGUCACCAAUCAGCCCUCGUCACCACCCGCAUAUAAACCUGCCUGGUCCUGUAAAUCCUCGCUACUACUACUGAUAAGAAAUAAAAAAAUGAUGGCUCAAUGGAUGAAUAGCAUGUGGUGAAAUGGACCACUGACUGCAGCAUGAGCGGUCCAAAACAUCCUCCUUGGCCUGGCCCUGAGCGUGGCGGGUCUUCUGGGAUAUUUGCCGUUGAGGUUUGAGGCGCCGCAGUUGCUGAACCACCAACCUCCUGCAACAAAAUGACCAGUUAGAAUCCAUGCUGUUGUUCUGUCACGCUUGACGUGAACAGAUCAGAUGAAGAUCUCACCUGAGUGAAGAUCAGCACAGUUGACGUCCGCGGCGAGAUCACUGUCGCGGUCGGCUGUAGAGAAAGGAAGACCCGAGGCACCCGUCAGAAUGCCUCCCCCCUGAACUCCAGAUGUAGAAUCUUCCUCGAGGUGGAGAGUGUAGUUUUUGUCCUCUCCAUCAAGUUGGAUGCGAUAGUGUGUCGCUUGAGUCUCUCCCGCCCAAUCCGUGAGCUCCACCUGGAGCAGGUACUGGCCUUGUUCGGAGAUUGCGUGAAUGUUCUCCAA